rnacentral:autocatalytically_spliced_intron from 1 species
AACCGCCGUAUACGAGACCCGUACGUACGGUGGUGUGAGAGCCUCUCCCUGCUAGCGUUUGCUGGCGGGGCGGGCUACUCGAU